UACGUAGGGGGCAAGCGUUGUCCGGAAUCAUUGGGCGUAAAGCGCGUGUAGGCGGUUCGAUAAGUCUGCUGUGAAAGUCCAGGGCUCAACCCUGGGAUGCCGGUGGAUACUGUCGGGCUAGAGUGCGGAAGAGGCGAGUGGAAUUCCCGGUGUAGCGGUGAAAUGCGCAGAUAUCGGGAGGAACACCAAUUGCGAAGGCAGCUCGCUGGGACGUUACUGACGCUGAGACGCGAAAGCGUGGGGGAGCAAACAGG
rnacentral:rRNA from 1 species